UUUCAUCAUUUUAAGGAUGGAUGCUGCUCCUGCAAGGGUUAUUGGUGAAGAUUAUUCAAGUGUAGGUAUGAUAUUAUUUGGCUCUAAAGCACGAGGUAAAGAAGCUAUGACUUGGUUCCAUUAAGAGGCAACCUUGAAAUCGCUAAGAGGUAAAUCAUGUUUGGCAACUAACACCUAUCUCUUAAUGGUUCUAAAAACCUCUGAGCAUUUUAGUAUCUCUUGAAUUCUCAAAACUUCUGUCGCUCCAUCGAUUCUAGAGUAUCCUCAAGCCAUUCGGGACCCCUAUAUUUUCCAUGAGUGCCCCUUGUUCUCUUACGACCUGCUGCUGCUGCUCUCUGAAGUCGCCCCUGUUGUCUUACGAUCUGCUCUCUCCAAAUUGAAUCUGCAUUGUUGUUAAGGUCCAUGACUAUACGGUUCAGAGGCGCAUGGUAGGUGACAAGUGAACAAAGCUCUCCUUUAUUGCAAAGAUCUCAUCAACAAGGAUUUGAUGUUAGCGUUUGGGUUCUGGUGAGAAGGGAAGUUAUGAUGAGAAGCGUAAGAAGAGAUUUCCACCUUUGGAUCGAUUCUAAUGGAAUGUCAACCCUAAUGAGGUGCAAUGGAUCAAUUCCUUUCUAAAACACGAUUCAUGGGUAGACAUGAGAUUACGUAUGCUGAGGAAAUAGAAGGAAAUCCAAGGGAGAAAAGGAAGAAGACAUGGGUGGGAGAAAACAAAUAUUGUUGUCUUUUGUAAUAUAUAUUUAUAAUGUGAU